rnacentral:rRNA from 1 species
GCCCCGGUAAACGGCGGCCGUAACUAUAACGGUCCUAAGGUAGCGAAAUUCCUUGUCGGGUAAGUUCCGACCUGCACGAAUGGCGUAAUGAUGGCCAGGCUGUCUCCACCCGAGACUCAGUGAAAUUGAACUCGCUGUGAAGAUGCAGUGUACCCGCGGCAAGACGGAAAGACCCCGUGAACCUUUACUAUAGCUUGACACUGAACACUGGUCCUUGAUGUGUAGGAUAGGUGGGAGGCUUUGAAGUGUGGACGCCAGUCUGCAUGGAGCCGUCCUUGAAAUACCACCCUUUAAUGGCUGGUGUUCUAACGUAGACCCGUGAUCCGGGUUGCGGACAGUGUCUGGUGGGUAGUUUGACUGGGGCGGUCUCCUCCCAAAGAGUAACGGAGGAGCACGAAGGUUAGCUAAUCCUGGUCGGACAUCAGGAGGUUAGUGCAAUGGCAUAAGCUAGCUUGACUGCGAGAGUGACGGCUCGAGCAGGUGCGAAAGCAGGUCAUAGUGAUCCGGUGGUUCUGAAUGGAAGGGCCAUCGCUCAACGGAUAAAAGGUACUCCGGGGAUAACAGGCUGAUACCGCCCAAGAGUUCAUAUCGACGGCGGUGUUUGGCACCUCGAUGUCGGCUCAUCACAUCCUGGGGCUGAAGUAGGUCCCAAGGGUAUGGCUGUUCGCCAUUUAAAGUGGUACGCGAGCUGGGUUUAGAACGUCGUGAGACAGUUCGGUCCCUAUCUGCCGUGGGCGCUGGAGAAUUGAGGGGGGCUGCUCCUAGUACGAGAGGACCGGAGUGGACGCAUCACUGGUGUU